rnacentral:rRNA from 1 species
AAUCAACGCUGGCGGCGUGCCUCAGACAUGCAAGUCGAACGAUUAAGACUCCCUUCGGGGAGUGUAUAAAGUGGCGCACGGGUGAGUAACACGUAGGUAAUCUACCUUUGAGUGGGGAAUAACAAUCGGAAACGAUUGCUAAUACCGCAUAAUGCAGCGGCACCGCAAGGUGACAGUUGUUAAAGGAGCAAUUCGCUUUAAAGAGGAGCCUGCGGCAGAUUAGCUAGNGGUAAGGUAAUGGCUUACCAAGGCUACGAUCUGUAACCGACCUGAGAGGGUGGUCGGUCACACUGACACUGAAUAACGGGUCAGACUCCUACGGGAGGCAGCAGUCGGGAAUUUUGGGCAAUGGGCGAAAGCCUGACCCAGCAACGCCGCGUGAAGGAUGAAGUCUCUAGGGAUGUAAACUUCGUAAGAAUAGGAAG